GACCUCCGAGCUGGGCGGUGGCGGUGGCGGGCGCCGCGAAAAACAGCGCCGCCUGCUGGGGAAGAGGGAAACAGCUCGGAUCUCCCCGGAGGCCGUGGCGUCGCCAAGGGGACCGCUUGGACCGAGCCAACAUUCCAAAGUCCGUUGCGCUUAGGAUGCUGCAGGAUAUUAACCCCCCCCCCCCCCCCAACGAAACUGAAAGUAAUGGGCACAGCCCGAGCAGCCUUUCUGUCGAGAAGGGAAACCUACAGGACCGUUAUGGUUUUGGUACACAGUGUUUCAAAAGGCUUGACUGUUUUUAAUGCUUCCUGAAGCUUAAAAGGAAAAUUGCUAUUUAAGACCGUCCUAAAGAGUGAAAAUAGAACCUGAUAGAAGCUCUCUUUCAUUUAUCCUGCGCUGCUUUAAGUUAUUUACAAAGUAUUGUAAGAGAUUAUCAGAAGCAAAUUGGAAAAAAAAGGGCAAGGGACUGAGUUUCAAGGAGCCUCCGCAAUCAUCUGCUUAGAACACGUCAUCAUCAUCCACUGGGAGAGAGUUGUGGCACCACCUUUCUCCCCCUAUGGCUGAAGCCCACAGAAGAAAGAUGAGGAGUUGUGCUUCUGCGCUGGAGCCGCGCGACUGCCCGGAAUUGUAACCUGCAAGAUGAUGCCCAAGUGCAGCUUCCCCCUUUUUGUGCCGCAUAGAACUGUAUGCUGCCCUUCUUGAAGCUGAUGCUUUCUCCUUUAGAGCCAUGCCCUCCACAUUGCCCAGAUGAUGUGCUAAGUCCCUUCCACUUGCAGAGAUUCAGUGGAUUAAGUGUAAAAACCACACAUCUCUGUUUUUUCUUUUAGUAAGGGAGUAAAGACCCAGAGGUGGAUGGUUUCAUUUGGAUUAGUCAUGCUGUUUAUCGGGACCCUAUCCUCUGACAUGAAAAUUCCCAUCUCCCAUCGGGGUAUAGCUGUCGGCAUAAAUUAUAGGCUCUGGUUCAAAACAGGGCCCUCUCUUUUGUCCAGUAGCACCAGAAACACAUUAAUUAGGGACCUUGCUGGAACAGAAGGCUUCUCGAGGCUCCUGGAAAAGGAAGGUUGGGCCCCCAAGUCCUGUAUGUGAUCGCUUGGGCUGUAGCCUUCACAGUCUGGAUCCAACCAGAUGAGCACUGAGAGCUCAGUGUUUGGAGCACAAAGAAGAGCAAAGAAUAUAUAGUAACUUAGUGAAUCAGGGACAGGAUCCAAGAGGAAGCCUGACAUUUGUUUAUCAGCAGAGAAACAGAAGUAAAGGAGGGAAUGUCUCCCUAAGUGCUACUGUGUUAUAAAAGUGUCCUCUAGAGAGAGGCUACAUGAACAGGGCAGCUGAUAACAUUAAUACUGUGCAGGUAGGCACACAUCUUCCCACAUGGCCAGGACUGCUGAACCAAGUGGCCCUAAACUAAUGGGCAGGGAUACAGCUCUAAGCCUUUCCUGCGGCAAUCCUCAGAGGGAGUUGGCUCAGACAAAGCACAGCAGCUUCUCCCUCGGUUCUUUGUUCUUCCUUGGAAAAUGGGCUCUCUCUCAAGUCUCAUACCCCAGCUGCUUUCCCCUCUUGUACAAGGGCAAAAUAAAGUAAUCGCCAAUAAUGA